ACAUGCCUACAUCAUAGUGUUAAUGCAUCAGAUCCCAUUACAACUCCACAAUUAAGUGUGUUUGAGCUAGAGUAGUACUGGGAUGGGUGAUCGCCUCGAAAGUCCUAAUGUUUACAUGCC
rnacentral:rRNA from 1 species